rnacentral:rRNA from 1 species
AAUGGAGGAAACUCUGAUGCAGCGAUGCGCGUGAGUGAAGAAGGCCCUUGGGUUGUAAAGCUCUUUCGUCGGGGAAGAAAAUGACUGUACCCGAAUAAGAAGGUCCGGCUAACUUCGUGCCAGCAGCCGCGGUAAUACGAAGGGACCUAGCGUAGUUCGGAAUUACUGGGCUUAAAGAGUUCGUAGGUGGUUGAAAAAGUUGGUGGUGAAAUCCCAGAGCUUAACUCUGGAACUGCCAUCAAAACUUUUCAGCUAGAGUAUGAUAGAGGAAAGCAGAAUUUCUAGUGUAGAGGUGAAAUUCGUAGAUAUUAGAAAGAAUACCAAUUGCGAAGGCAGCUUUCUGGAUCAUUACUGACACUGAGGAACGAAAGCAUGGGUAGCGAAGAGGAUU